rnacentral:rRNA from 1 species
AUUGAACGCUGGCGGCAGGCCUAACACAUGCAAGUCGAGCGAGCGGAGGACGGGUGAGUAAUGUAUGGGGACUGCCCGCUAGAGGGGGAUAACUACUGGAAACGGUGGCUAAUACCGCAUACUAUCGGAUAACCCAUAUGGGAUUAGCUAGUAGGUGGGGUAAAGGCUCACCUAGGCGACGAUCUCUAGCUGGUCUGAGAGGAUGAUCAGGAACACAGGGACUGAGACACGGCCCAGACUACGACGGAGGCAGCAGUGGUGAAUAUUGCCCAAUGGGCGAAAGCCUGAUGCAGCGACGCCGCGUGGGGGAUGAAGGCUUGCGGGUUGUAAACCUCUUUCGCGAUCGAACGGGUAUGUGGAGAAGAAGCGCCGGCUAACUACGUGCCAGCAGCCGCGGUAAUUC